UGCAAGUCGAACGGGGUGAGGGGGCAACUCCUCAUUCAGUGGCGAACGGGUGAGUAAUGCAUCGGAACGUGUCCCGUAGUGGGGGAUAACGCCGGGAAACCGGCGCUAAUACCGCAUAUGCUCUACGGAGGAAAGUGGGGGACCGCAAGGCCUCACGCUAUGGGAGCGGCCGAUGUCCGAUUAGCUUGUUGGCGGGGUAAAGGCCCACCAAGGCGACGAUCGGUAGCUGGUCUGAGAGGAUGAUCAGCCACACUGGGACUGAGACACGGCCCAGACUCCUACGGGAGGCAGCAGUGGGGAAUUUUGGACAAUGGGGGCAACCCUGAUCCAGCCAUGCCGCGUGCGGGAAGAAGGCCUUCGGGUUGUAAACCGCUUUUAGUCGGAAAGAAAAGGCACGCCCUAAUACGGCGUGUUCUUGACGGUACCGGCGGAAUAAGCACCGGCUAACUACGUGCCAGCAGCCGCGGUAAUACGUAGGGUGCGAGCGUUAAUCGGAAUUACUGGGCGUAAAGCGUGCGCAGGCGGUUCGUUGUGUCUGAUGUGAAAUCUCCGGGCUCAACCCGGGAACUGCAUUGGAAACUGGCGGACUUGAGUGUGGCAGAGGGGGGUGGAAUUCUGCGUGUAGCAGUGAAAUGCGUAGAUAUGCGGAGGAACACCGAUGGCGAAGGCAGCCUUCCUGGGCCAACACUGACGCUCAGGC
rnacentral:rRNA from 1 species